rnacentral:rRNA from 1 species
AACGAACGCUGGCGGCGCGUUUUAAGCAUGCAAGUCGAACGGCAGUAUGGAGCAAUCCAUAUGAGAGUGGCGAACGGGUGAGUAACACGUAGGUGAUCUACCUUGGUCUUGGGGAUAGUCCGUGGAAACACGGGGUAAUACCGAAUACGCUCUUGGGGCUGUAGCCCUAAGAGGAAAGGCGCGGAUGCGCCGAACCGAGAUGAGCCUGCGGCCCAUUAGCUAGUUGGCGGGGUAAGAGCCCACCAAGGCGACGAUGGGUAGCCGGCCUGAGAGGGUGAACGGCCACACUGGGACUGAGAUACGGCCCAGACUCCUACGGGUGGCUG